rnacentral:rRNA from 1 species
CCUACGGGAGGCUGCAGUGGGGAAUAUUGGACAAUGGGCGAAAGCCUGAUCCAGCCAUGCCGCGUGUGUGAAGAAGGUCUUCGGAUUGUAAAGCACUUUAAGUUGGGAGGAAGGGUAUUCACCUAAUACGUGAGUAUUUUGACGUUACCGACAGAAUAAGCACCGGCUAACUUCGUGCCAGCAGCCGCGGUAAUACGAAGGGUGCAAGCGUUAAUCGGAAUUACUGGGCGUAAAGCGCGCGUAGGUGGUUCGUUAAGUUGGAUGUGAAAGCCCCGGGCUCAACCUGGGAACUGCAUCCAAAACUGGCGAGCUAGAGUACGGUAGAGGGUGGUGGAAUUUCCUGUGUAGCGGUGAAAUGCGUAGAUAUAGGAAGGAACACCAGUGGCGAAGGCGACCACCUGGACUGAUACUGACACUGAGGUGCGAAAGCGUGGGGAGCA